rnacentral:rRNA from 1 species
UACAGAGGGCGCAAGCGUUGUUCGGAUUCAUUGGGCGUAAAGGGUGCGUAGGUGGCGAGGUUAGUCAGGUGUGAAAUCUCGGGGCUCAACCCCGAAACUGCACUUGAUACUGCCUUGCUAGAGUACUGGAGAGGAGAUUGGAAUUUACGGUGUAGCAGUGAAAUGCGUAGAUAUCGUAAGGAAGACCAGUGGCGAAGGCGAAUCUCUGGACAGUUACUGACACUGAGGCACGAAGGCCAGGGGAGCAAACGGG